CAAAUAUUUAGCCUCUUGCAUAUCAUUUCCGAACACAUAUUUGGUUUGAUGUCUCAGUGCUGGGACCUGAAUUCUUCACCGCUUCAUACCCUGUCAAAUCAAUGCAGGAAUUGCAUAUAACCUAUUUUAUUUCAAAGCCUCGUCUAUCCUAGCCUUGCAAACUCAGCUGUAUGUUAAUAAAAGAAAAAUAUAUUAUAUCCUGAACCGCCUCUUAUUUACUCUAAACUAUCUAGCCCAUGAUGAUCCCCAAGGCUACGGAACGUCCCAAGUUUCAGAGGUACUUCUUGGGGUGGAAUUCUGAUAUAGAAAGUGCUUUUAAAAGCACUUUACCAUAGGAACUAACUUCUCAUGUUUCUUUUUAGCUAACAGGCUCAGGUUUCAAGUAAAGAACUUGUGCAAACUGGAGUAGAGUUUUUUUGGGGGGAGGGUUAAUCUUCUAGUAAUCUUUUAAAACUGGAAUAUGAAAGUUAAACUGCAUGUUUUCUGUAUUUCCCCAUAGUAGUAACAGCGCAAGUGAGCCAUUCAUGAUCUUCAGUCCAUUUUGUGCCAGUUUGCUGUCCCCCAUGUCUCCAUGAAGAGAUGUUUUGUGCUUGCAAAACACUGGCCUCCAGAGCGCUGCAUAAGGACAAUGGUGAGGAUUCACUGAGCAGCUCUUGCAACCCUGCACAACCCAACACCAGGCAAUCUGUAGGAUAUUAGGCAACGUUAAUGCAAGGAAAAAUUACCAACAAAUUCAGGAGAACUAUCUCAGGAAGAAGUACCAGAUCGAGCUUUGCAAGCCUCCUUGGCAAAAUUACAGAACAGACAUUUGACACCAAAACUGACCUUUUGAUAAGGUGUGAAGAAAAGCCAGAACAUACACAGCACUCUGAGAGGUGUGCUGAGUGAGACCUGCAAAGCCUAUUGAAAGAUAUUUGCCUUUACUUCCGUUUUUCCAGGCUACCAGCUCUU